AUUUAUUUUUAUUUUUCCAAAAACUGUUGACAGGGGCAUUUAACUUGGGUCAGGUAGGAUAACUGGACUACUUCGCCAUGAAUUGGUGAACAACUGCCCUGACCCUGUCAUAGCUUGUUACGCUCAGGCUGGUUGUGUAGAAAAUUGGAUCUGGUUCAGUAAAAAUGGUCCAUUUUCAUCAAAACACUCGUGCUUGCGCAGGCUCUAGGCUAGAGACCACCUCAUAAACAUCUAGGAAGAAAAGAAAUGAAAUGAUAAAAUGAGGACAUUUUAAAUGUUACAGGCAAUAAACUUCAACUUGUUACUCUAUGUUGGACAAAAUAUUGAUGGCGAUUCAUGAUUUAUCUUUUAUUGUCAAAUCUAGAAUUAUAAGGUCUAAAAUCUCGAAUGAUAAAAGAAUUGAAAUUUUGAGUAGUAGAUAAACACCACUAUAAGAUUAGUAAGAAAGCAUGAAUAAGAAUAUUCCUAAUGUAUUUUUGAUUUGAUUUGCAAAAAUAAAAAUAAAGAAAUAUGUUCCAGCUUUUUCUACCUUGUUAUUUAUACUUAAUUUAUGAUGCACAUUAACUUUUUAAUUUAGUUUACACGCAUAAGGUCUCUUUGUUCAAGUAAUUUAUUUAUUUAUUAUAUUAGAUUUAUUGUCCAUAUGAUUGCAUUAGUGAAUGGUGUCGCAGCGGUAUUUGUCUGGGUCGAACAAUGAAUGGGUAUGUCAACUAUGGUAGGAGUACAAGAUAUUCUUGGGCCACUGUGUUGUUUGGAAACUUGAAAAGUUAAUGAACUGAACUUUCUUUUUGACUAAUAACCCAUGAAACAAAGAUAUUGGUUUUGCUAAAGAAUCAAAUACUUUCAUUUCCUAAUUCCUGAAUCAAUUCACUUAACCAGUUUCAGAUUUGCAUGCAGCCUUCUGAAGCUCCCUGCUUUGGUGUGCAGUGUGGUUUAUUGAGACUGGAUGUGUGGCUAUUGGAGUAUAAUGUUACUUAACAUGGUUAAAAUGAGACGUGCCUUUGUUAUCUUUCUGUUAAUUAGUUUUUGUUUCAGGAGGAAGGAUGCUUCAGGAAAACUCUCAUAAAACCCCUUAUGGCGGAUUUCAUGGUUGAGUCAAGUUGUGUACCCUAUGAGUUGGGUAACUGGUUGAGGAGAAGUACCUAUGAGUUGGAUAACUGGUUGGGGAUGAUUUUUUAAAAUAAAGUAAGAGUUUCAACGUUAUCCUGGCUGCUGGCCAAUGUACCUGAGGAUUGUAAGUUCCAGAAGAGAGAACAGAGCUUUGUUCUUGCAAGGGUUGAGUCAAUUUCCGUAACAAUGUCAUAUUCCCAUCACGAUUCAAGCUUCAAAUCGAAGAGGAUGUGAUGCCAAACCAGCUUCAGGAAAGGUGGGUCUGAUUUUUAUCUUCUUCUCCAUGAUUGUGUUUUGGUAAACAUAAUGGUGGAUCGAAUGAACUGUGAAAAAGGAUUUAUGUACCAGCUAAAUUUGUUGGGAAAAUUUUGUAGUCUAGUUUUUGGAGAACAAAUGGUUUUAAAAAGUGAUUAAAUUAAAAUUUUAAGUCAUUAGAAGCUGUGGGUCUUAUGGAAUGUAUUUGGUGGUGGUUGUGGGGCCUACAAAAUUUGUGAAUCUUUUCAAAGAUAUUAUGUGCUUCAUGGAGCUUUGAAAUCAGGGACAGACUGAAUUGCCUAAAAUUUUCUGAAUUUUGUUUCAACUCUGCGCAAGACACUCUCUCUCAAUAGAAGAAGGGGAAGCUGCAGAAGGCAUUGGAUGGAAGCAGAGUCAUUUACAAUGUAGCUUCCUGGGGAGCUACUGCCAUUGGGAUUUAUCAAAACCCAGCCCUUUUAAGGGCUGCUGGUGCAGCAUUCUGGACAUCGUGUCAUGCUAUCUCAAAGCUUUUCUGAGCUAGAAAGAGUCCCGUGCUUGAGUUUUGAAGUUGUUGUUGCCCUUGCUGCCUUGGCUUCUUUCCAUAUUGCGAAAUUGUCCCACAGACUGCUUUCCUUUCGCACACAAGACGAUUAAUUCCUUGGAUGUUAGUUGUUUCUGUACAUAUUUUCCUAGUCGUCUUCAUUGGUAUUAUCUCGAUGUAACAUUCAGGAGGGAGCCUUCUUCUGGGCAAGAGCCAGCAAUGGCUGUACAUACAUGUAUAGGUGUGAUGUUGUGAGGCGUGCACUAUCACCAACUAAUUAUUUCUGAACUAAUGUAAUUUAUUAUGGAAGCAACAAUGCAUAUUUUGCAGGAUUUAUUAUUGCAACUGUAUAUACCUUUUUUUUUUUCUUUCAUCCUGUAUGAUCCGAUUUCUCAUGGUUAGACGGAUUGCAGUUUCAUGAUGUAAAAGAUCUCAAUGCCAAUUUCAAUAUUGUUUUUAAAGUCA